rnacentral:rRNA from 1 species
GAUGAACGCUAGCGGCAGGCCUACACAUGCAAGUCGAGGGGCAGCACAGAAACAGCAAUGUUUUGGUGGCGACCGGCGGACGGGUGCGUAACGCGUAUGCAACCUACCUUUAACAGGGGGAUAACGGAGAGAAAUUUCCACUAAUACCCCAUAACAUCGAUCAAGGCAUCUUGAUUGGUUGAAAACUUCGGUGGUUAAAGAUGGGCAUGCGUUGUAUUAGGUAGUUGGUGAGGUAAUGGCUCACCAAGCCUACGAUACAUAGGGGGACUGAGAGGUUAGCCCCCCACACUGGUACUGAGACACGGACCAGACUCCUACGGGAGGCAGCAGUGAGGAAUAUUGGUCAAUGGGGGCAACCCUGAACCAGCCAUGCCGCGUGCAGGAAGACGGCUCUAUGAGUUGUAAACUGCUUUUAAACAGGGAUAAAGCACAGUAUGUAUACUGUGUUGAAGGUACUGUAAGAAUAAGGAUCGGCUAACUCCGUGCCAGCCGCCGCGGUAA